AUCUCCUUCUUAUGAUACCUUCAUAAUUGAUGAUUCGUGGGACGGUCUUGAUCGCAACAAACUCAUAGACGCAGCAAGAUUCUACUUGUCCUCCAAGAUCGGCCCUAAAAACAAAAUUAUCAGAAUUGGUAAGUUUAGAGGGCAAAAGAAUGUCACAGCUGCCUUAGUAGAAGGUGAGAAAGUUGUUGAUGUCUAUGAAGGGAUAGAAAUUACAUGGCAAUUUGCAAAGCAAGAAAACGACGAUCGAUCCAAGAAUGAUAAAUUCUAUAACAAAGGUUAUUUUGAACUAAAAUUUGAAGAUCAAUAUAGAGAAAAAAUCUUUAAUGAUUACUUAAACCACAUUGUGGAUACUUCCAAGGCCAUGACAAAAGGCGAAAAGGUUUUAAAGCUUUAUACAAGGUCUCGCGGUGGUUGGGAUUCCAUUGAUUUUCGACAUCCAUCGACAUUUGAUGCGCUAGCGAUGGAUCACAAUCUAAAGAAGUCUAUUAUAGAUGAUAUAGAUAGGUUCUUGGCAAGGAAAGACUACUAUAAGAGAAUUGGAAAGGCUUGGAAAAGAGGAUACUUACUCUAUGGUCCUCCUGGCACUGGAAAAUCAAGCUUAAUUGCAGCUAUGGCUAAUUACCUCAAGUUUGAUGUGUUUGAUUUGGAGCUGGCCAAUAUUACUUCUGAUGCUGAUUUGAGAAAAGCUAUGCUGGAUAUUGAUAGGAAGUCCAUAACUGUGAUUGAAGACAUAGAUUGCAAUUCUACUGUGCAUAAUCGAUCAAGAUCAAAAUCUGAUGAUUCUGAUGAUGAAUCCUUUUAUGUCAAGGUUAUUAUCUGUUCUGUUUUAGUCUACUCUCUCAUGCUCUGUUUUGUUGAUACUUUUAUUUUAGAAAUGGGAUUGGUUAAAACUAGUUUUUGUUUCUCUUAAUUUGGAUCAAACAGCAAUUUUCGCUCUCUGGUCUGCUAAAUUGUAUUGAUGGAUUGUGGUCAAGCUGUGGAGAAGAAAGGAUAAUAGUGUUUACGACAAAUCACAAGGAAGUUUUGGACCCAGCAUUGCUUCGUCCUGGCAGAAUGGAUAUGCACAUUCACAUGUCAUAUUGUACCAGUGAAGGAUUUAGAGUUUUGGUGUACAAUUACCUUGGAAUUAAAGAGCAUAAACUGCUUGAAGAAAUUGAUGGGUUGAUACAAAGUGCAGAGGCCACUCCUGCUUCUUUGGCUGAGGAAUUAUUGAAGAGUGAUGAUCCUGAUGUUGCUCUUGGAGAAGUACUCAAUUUUCUCAAGCAACAGAAAAUUAAAAAGGAUAAUGAAGAUAAAAUUGUAGAAGAAAAGGUAAGCUCUGUUUAGUGAAUCUAAUUUUGUCUUUCCCUUUUUUUAGCGUAGUUAUUAAGUUUUUAUUAGGAAAGAAAUGUCCAGCCUUUCUCCAAUGACUACUUGGAUUCUCUACAGUUGGAGGUUUAUUAUUAAGUAUUUUGAUGAGAACUUACAAAUUAUCUUGUAAUUUUCACUUUUACUAGAUUUUUUAUUAUCUUGUAAUUUUGUAAAGAGUUUUGCAUGGCCUAUAGUAUUAUUUCGUCACAUAAAAAUCUUUAAUGAAUUAAAAAAAUUAUUUAAUAGUAAUUAAGCAAUCAUUUUGUUUUUAAACUAAAUAAGAAUUUUUUUACCUAUUAUUGUAUAGUUGGUUUCUCUUGCAUUCUAGCAUCCAAUAGCUAAGUUUUAAACAAUAAAAUCUAAUGGUUAUUAAUUAUUCACCAUGAUGCAGAAUUAUUAACAUUCUGUACUGCACUGUAGUUUGUCCCUAACUAUAGUAGAUAUCUCAUAUUAUCAAUUUUUCUGACAGAUACAAAUUAUUUAAUUUUUUUUUUACUAUAUUUGCACAUUUCUUUUUUCAAUUUUACUAACAUACAAUUUGGAAUGCUACAUAUUUUUAAUUAUUUAUUUAAAAUUCAGAAAAAAUACAAUAAUCCAAAUACAUAUUUCCUGGAAAAUUGUGUGGAUUCAUGAAAGUUUUAAUUUGUCAAUUGUAUAUUCAAAAUUAAAAUUUUUACUAAUAUCCAAAAAUAUUUAUAUAAAAACAAAAUUACGAGCCUUAUAAAUUUUUUCUUUUACUGUUUAAUGGCAAAAAGAAAAAAAAUAAUAAUUGCAUUAAAAAGCUGACAGGAAACACAGCCUUACAAUACAAUAUUUAAAAAUAAUUUUCUUUUAUGGCUAUUAAGUCUACAUUCCCCAGUGCUAUGUCCUCGUGUGUCCUCAAAAUUGAAGGAAAGUAUACUUGAAGGCAUGAUAGACAAUGAAUGUUUGUUAUGGUAAUAUAAUAGGAAUUGUACGUGCUUUAUGCAUAAAUUUUCACCCGAAUUUUACGUGUUUAAUUUUAUGACACCCUUAAUUUUACAGAGACCUAUUAUAUUUUUGAAAUUGUUCAUUUUAAUAAUAAUCCUGCCCCUUGUCAUAUAUAAAUUUCAAAUGCUGAAUUGAGAGUGUUGCCUGAAAUAUUGUGUACCUGAAUUAUUGAAAAAGUAAAGUUAUUUAUGUUUUCUGAUAUCAUUAUUGAAAAUGACCAAAAAGUCAUAAAAGAGAAACAAAGUUUGGUUGUUGUCAUUUGCAAAUUGACGUGUACUGCUAAGUUCUUCGAAGAUUCCCAUUUGCUAAAGUAUAAGAUAGAACUCAAUUUUGAAAAGGUAGCAACCACCUUUUUGGAAAAUGUUACAAUAAAUCAAAGAAAAUGAUUUUUUUUUUUUUUUGUACCAGAGUUACAUGAGACCUGAUGGACUGGCCACUGUGAAAGUGGUUCAGAAAUUAUACCACUGGUCAAUGACCCAAUUCACCCAUUUUUUCAAUAAAAAAAAAAAAAAAAAAAGAGAGAGAGCUAUGCUUUAAGAAUUACAAGAAACACCCACCAAAUCAUGUAAAAUUCAUGAUCAAGAAGAUAACGAGUGCCCAUUGUAAACUUGCUAGCCAAUUUUGAUGGCUGAAUACAUAAUUUAAUCUAUUUUCUAAUUUUAAUUUUGUAGUAUCUUGAACUUUACAAACGAUCUGUCGGCAUUUAAACUUAUAAAUUUUAAUAAUACUAGACACAUUUCGACACAAUAUUCACAAUUUUUAAAUUUUUUUGAUUUUUAUCUACAAAAUAUCAAUUUUAUAUAUAGCUAGCAUGACUAUUUGGAACAAUAAUUUUCAUAAAUUUCAACUUUUUAAUAUAUGUUUAGUUGAUAUAAUUUUACAAGUUGAAGUGUUAAAUAAAAUAAUUAAAAUUUUUAUUUAUUUAAUAAAUAUAAUUUAUAAAUUGAAAUGUUUAAUUGGUGAAAGUAAAAGUUGAUGAUGCCACGAGAUUAAAAUAAUUCAGAGUGAAUUUAUUUAUAGGGCCCAAUUUCAACAAAUAAACUAUACAUUAAAAAGUUUCCUUCCCUAAAUAUAUGGUUUUUAAAGUGUCAUUUUAAUAAAGUAGUUACAUAAAUAAAGAUUUAGAAUAUUACUUCCAUUCUAUUCAUUUUUUUCAUACGUUUUGAGAUUUUACAAAAAUUAAAAAAAAUAUUAAAUCACCAAUUUUAGAAAAAAUAAGAGUAAUUGAAUAAUACAAAUAAAGUUUAGUAAAAAUAUCUAAAACGGUGGAUGGUUCUUGGGGUUUGGGGAAGGCGGGUCUAUUUUUUAAUGCGGAUCAGAUUAGGGCAAUUUGGUCUCGUGUUAUUUCUUAAAGGCUUACUAUUUUCUUGUGUACGAAAAAAAAAAUUUAUCUUGUCUCUAGUAAUUUAUUUGGAUAAAUUAUUAUUUAAUUCCUGGAUGUUGUCCUAAUUAAUAUGCAUGUUCCUUAAAAUAAAGAAAAAAAUGAAAAUCUUUUCACAUUUGCUCCUAUAAAAAUAGUUAUUCUGAUCAAAUUAUGUCAAAAGAAAAGACGGUUUAAAUCGAAACAUGUUUCGACUAUUUGUUAAUUGUUCUUGAAGAGUUGAGACACUUUCAUAACGGUAAGGAAGGAGAAGGGCCUAUUCAUUAAAAAAACUACAAGACUAAAAAUGUAAUUUCAAGUGUAUGAAAUUUAUAGAGUUUUGAAUAAUUAGGAAGUGAGUUUAAUUUGAAAUGGUGUACUUGAAUGUGUAGUUAAGAGGCAUUGGUUGAAAUUAUUUGGAAACUGUAGGGAAAAUUUUAGUUAGAAAGAAAAAUUUACAGCAUUUUCCUCACGAGUUCAUUCAUUUUCAAUCUGACUAAGGCACUCUUUGGAUAAAAUUGGCUAUUUCAAUAGCUACACAGAAAUUAUAAGCUCUUUUAGAAUCUGUUCGACAAUAUUAAUUAUUGUAAUAGCUGUUAGAACUAUUAGCUAUUUUGCAGUUAGCUGUUUAUUUAGCGGUUUAAAUUAGAAAUAUUCAAUAAAAAAAGAUAAAAAUAAUUGUUUUUUAUUUUGAGAGGAUAAAAAUAAUUGUUUAACUUAUAAUGAAAUUAGCUAGCGAAAUUCAAAGAAAAAAAAAUAAUGGUAUGAUUUUCAAAAAACAAAAAAUUAAAAACUAAACUAAAAGCUAAACAUUAGAGAUAAUUAUAUCUUUAUUAUCUAAAUUUUUCAUUUUUUUUCAUUUUGGUGUCUAAAGGAAAAUGUUAUCAAUUGAGUACUUAAAUUUUUAAAAAUUUACAAUUACGUGUAUCAAGUUGAACUGGCUAACAAAAAAACAUGAUUAUAUAAUUGUAGACCUUAUUCUUUUAACACAUGGCAACUGACGUGGAGACAAAGAGCUCCAAAAUUGCAAUUCAGCGGCAUGAGUAGAUUCUAUGUGGACAUAAAUAUGAAUUUUCUAUUUUGUCCCUAAGAAUACCUAAGUCUCUCAUUCCUCUGUUCACAUCUUUUCAUUUCAAAUCAAUUCCUCUGCAACCUCAGAUCUACUCACAUCCUCUCAAAUCCUCUCUAACACCAUGGAAGUCGUUGCAACAGCAAAAAGAAAAACAACAAAGAAAGUCCCGGAAAAAAAAAAAAAACAAAUUCAUCUAAUAUAUGUAACUGUACAAUAAAUCAAGAUUAUGAAAAAAAAAAAAAGAAAAAGAAUCUUCCACAUCUAGAAUUCCUUGAACUCAAAUUCAUCUAAUACAUGAAAAUUGAAUCCUAAUAAAACAAAACCCACAAACUUAUACUGAUAAUUUUCCAAACCGAAGCCUUUUUUUUUUUUUUGUCUUACUUUCAUGAAGAAAUUAAAAAAUAUAUAUAUAUAUUAGAAAGAGGAAAAGAGAAGUGUACCAUCAGUGUUCAACGAAAGAGAUGAGCAUAUAUUGGAUUAAGGUCGUCAAAUUGGAUGAGCCAUGGAGCUGGGUGUUUUAACGCAAUAGGCAAUGCAGUAACGAAUGAUUAAGGGAAUUAAUCAACCAGAUUUAAUAAACACCUAAUCUAACACCUUCAAGGACCAUAAGAGGUGGCCUUAGAGAUUAAGCCACCACUUUCUCUGUGAAUCGAGUAAUUUGUAGAGGAUUUCAAGGAGAAUCUCAUCACUUAAAAGAAGUGUACGAUCGAUUUUGGAGAAAUUGGGAAUUAGGUUUAGGUUUUGGUUUUGGAAUCUUUGGUGGGAGUAUAAGCAUCGGAGAUAGACCAGAGUUGCAUUGCAAAGACCAUGUGUUUUAAAGGUUUAGUAUUCCUGAGCCACAUGUUUGACCAGCUUGGUCACCC
rnacentral:lncRNA from 1 species